rnacentral:misc_RNA from 1 species
AAGUCGUAACAAGGUCUCCGUUGGUGAACCAGCGGAGGGAUCAUUACUGAGUUACCGCUCUACAACCCUUUGUGAACAUACCUAACUGUUGCUUCGGCGGGCAGGGGGCCCCCCCGGGGACCCCCUCCCGGCCGCGCCCGUCGAGGGCGUGGCGCCCGCCGGAGGAUACCACACUCUAUUUUAACGACGUUUCUUCUGAGUGGCACAAGCAAAUAAUUAAAACUUUUAACAACGGAUCUCUUGGUUCUG